GAAAGUCUGAAACGCAUGCGCAGUCAGCCAGUCAUUAUCAAAGAAGAAAUUUCUGGUGAAGAUUAUGAACAUUUUUACGUUCAGGAAGGCUUAGUGGAACAUUUAUGACCGUAAAAUGAGGCAAUGGCGUGUCUAGAAAAGUUGAAGAACGACAUAAGGCGGUUAGAAUGCGCAUUCCCGGCAGAUCAUGCCAGGUUCCGCGUAGUGUCAGCUUCCGUUGAUGAACUUUCUUGCUGUUUAAUCGGCAAAAAUGACACCAUUUAUAUUAUAAAUGGAAAUAUUCCAGUAAGAAAAUAUUUUUUCUUUAUUGCUUCUUUAACAGAAUUUAUUUAACCUGCUUCAAUAUAUUUUUCAUCUAUGAAUAAUAUAUUGUCUACAGCUGUUAGGCAUCUCACCUUUUGACCCCAUUACCUUCUAAUUAUUUAUUUAUUUUUUUAAUUUUUUUACUAAUCUGUGGAGACUUGUAAUUUUUCAAAGUUAUACAAGACAGUUAUUAACUUUAAAUCAAAACUAACGGCUAGAAAACGAAAUAAGGAAACACGGAGGAAAUUGUAAAGAAUUUCAAAAGUUACCCUUCUUUCCCGCUUCUUCUUGACAGUAAAAAUCGAAAUAUCGCAUUUCUUAACAAUUCAAAUGGAUAUUUUACAAGAUUUAUACUCCUAAUUCGUUUAUUUUCGAGCCAAAAUGAGAUAGAUUAAUUAUAAACGUCUAACUACUAGUUGAAGAUGCCUAAUCAUAAGAAAACCGCAAUAAGUUGAUAAAUUUUUCUAUUUUAACGGUUUUAUCAAUACUAAUUGUAUUAAAUUAACAAAAGAAUUAAAUACAUUUUAAUCUUUUCUAUUUGCAGGAAGAUUAUCCUAAUUCACCGCCCGUCUGGUAUGUCGAUACAGAAGAUAGCAGUAUUGCUGCUGCUAUUAAAGAAAUAAUGUCAAUGGGGGAUUCCAAAUAUUUUCCACUUCUGCAUCAAAUUGAAUUAAUUUUGAAAAAGCUGUGCCACGUACUCAAUGUACCUGUUCCUAGGGAGUUGCAAAUGGUGGCAUCAAACCAUAUUAAAGAGCCUGAAAGCUCAGAUUCUGAAAUGGAAGUAGAUGAUGAUUAUUACGAUAUGGAGGAGGAUAUUUCUGAAGGAAAGAGUAAACAGGAAUUUGACGGUAUAUCCGCUAGAAAUCUCGCAACGUUAGAAAAAUUAAAACAUAAUCAACGACAAGAUUACUUAAAAGGUUCCGUAUCCGGUUCUGUGCAAUCUACUGAUAGGCUAAUGAAAGAACUGCGGGAGAUAUAUAAAUCUGAAAGUUAUAAAAAGAGCAUAUAUGCCGUUGAACUCUUGAACGACAGUUUAUACGAGUGGCACGUCAAAUUAUAUAAAGUCGAUCCAGAUUCGGCACUUUAUGGAGACCUUUCCGCCUUCAAGGAAAAAGAGGGCAAAGACCAUAUUCUCUUGUCUUUUACUUUUAAAGAUACAUUUCCUUUCGAUCCACCUUUUGUUCGAGUCAUAGCCCCCAUUAUUAAUGGAGGAUAUGUAUUAGGGGGUGGUGCAAUAUGUAUGGAAUUGCUAACAAAACAAGGUUGGAGUUCAGCAUAUAGUAUGGAAAGUGUAAUCAUGCAAAUAGCCGCCACAUUGGUCAAAGGAAAAGCAAGAAUCCAGUUUGGAGCUUCGAAAAGUCAAUAUAGUUUGGCCAGGGCGCAACAGAGCUUUAAAAGUUUGGUACAAAUUCACGAAAAGAAUGGUUGGUUUACCCCCCCAAAAGAAGACGGUUAACCAAUGCAUUUUUUAGCAAAUUUGAAACUCAACUGCUAAAACUCUAAAAUUCUACUAAAAAAUACUGAUGCAUGUAUAUGUUUUUGUAUAGUACGUACUUAUCCUUCGACAUGUGGUACGGUGGACCGAUUCAAAAUGGAUAAACUGUUAAAUUUCGUCAGUUAUUCAGCCAUCUUACUGCUCAUUUUUUAUGUCGUAAAUGAAAAAAAAAAAUACAUGUUGGCCUUUUAUAUUUCCUAAAAUCCAUACAUAUAUAAGCGGUACCUUAUUUACAUUUUCUCAUAUACUGUAUAUAUAUAUAUAUAUAUAUAUAUAUAUUUAAACUUGAAACAAAGCAUUCAACGACGAUGAUGAUGAUAUUUAUGUAAAAUAGGAUAUUUUAUUAUAUAUGUAUGAUUAAAAGUAUUCAAGAGAAAAAACCCUUUUUAAGUAUAUAUAAAUAUUUAUAUAUACAUUGUAUAUCAACAAAUGUACAGCAAUAAACGAAACGAAAGUCG
rnacentral:misc_RNA from 1 species